rnacentral:rRNA from 1 species
UACAGAGGGUGCGAGCGUUGUUCGGAAUUAUUGGGCGCAAAGCGCUUGUAGGCGGCUUGUUAAGUUCCGUGUGAAAUCCCCAGGCUUAACCUGGGAAGUGCGCGGAAAACUGGCGAGCUUGAAUGCCGGAGAGGGUCGCGGAAUUCCCGGUGUAGAGGUGAAAUUCGUAGAUAUUCGGAAGAACACCAGUGGCGAAGGCGACUUACUGGACACAUACUGACGCUGAGGUGCGAAAGCGUGGGGAGCAAACAGG